CAGGGAAUCUUGCGCAAUGGACGAAAGUCUGACGCAGCGACGCCGCGUGGGGGAAGAAGGCCUGCGGGUUGUAAACCCCUUUUCCAGGGGAAGAAGAUCUGACGGUACCCUGGGAAUAAGCCUCGGCUAACUACGUGCCAGCAGCCGCGGUAAUACGUAGGAGGCAAGCGUUGUCCGGAUUUACUGGGCGUAAAGGGAGCGCAGGUGGCUGCGCAAGUCGAUGGUGCAAGCUCCAGGCUUAACUUGGAGAGGUCUGUCGAUACUGCGUAGCUUGAGGGCGGUAGAGGAGCACGGAAUUCCUGGUGUAGUGGUGAAAUGCGUAGAUAUCAGGAGGAACACCGGUGGCGAAAGCGGUGCUCUGGGCCGUUCCUGACACUCAUGCUCGAAAGCGUGGGGAGCGAACCGG
rnacentral:rRNA from 1 species